rnacentral:lncRNA from 1 species
AGGGAUGGUUUAGAAGACAUGGUGAAGAAGUGACUAUUUCAUCCUCUAUUAACUGGAGAUCCCCUGUUGCUGGGUCUCAUGUCACUGCUGAUCCAGAGAUCAUUUCUGCCUGAGUAGAAUAACAAUGAAUGAAGCCUGAUAUUAAGGCUGUAGUCCUUCAGGUAGUUAUUCUCGUAUGUUGACAUCCUGUGAACCUAAAAUGUAUUAAAUAACUACAUUUCUUCUCUAGCACAAAUCAGACUAUCAAUGUACAGAUAUAUAAACCUAUAUUUUUAAGUAUGUGCCAGUGAGAUAAGAGAGAAAGUGAAUGAAAGUACGGAAUCAAAUGCUAUUUACAUUUUCCCCCAUUUCUUUUGGGGCUGAAGAAAGGAAAGAAUUUCUGAAAACAUUUUCCAGUUCCAUUAAAAACCCCAACCCACUAUCCCACUUGUUAUUUACCUACAAAAAGACAUUGUAGUGUCUGGGUUCUGUGCUACUUACUUGUAGCCUGCUUAAGAAACUAGUCAGUAGACAGUCUGAUCUGACUGUGACUGUGGGUCUCACGUAGUGUGAUUAGACACAAGGCCAAAGACCUUCCAGAGAUCCUCUGGAUUAUCAAAGGAUAGGUGGCUGAAAGAGUAGGGACUCUUUUCAUUCACUUGAGAGAAAAGCUGCAGCAUGAGCUGUUAUAAGGCAUCAGAGAAUCUGAUGUCUGCUGGGAGGGUGCUUUCUGAAUGCCACCACUUUGGGAAAAAUUGAAGCGUGUCCUCACCUACCUGACACAAAUCCGUGGGAAGAGAGCUUUCAUUGGUUUCUCAUAACUGCAUCUCAAUGUAAUAUCUUUUCUAGUUCUUAGGUGGCUUCUUUUGAUGGGUGGAAUAAAUGUUACCACAACUGCUACCAACCUUGGUGUGAAAAGCUGUACAGAUCACGAAUUUUCAUCUGACGAAUUUUCUGAGCUCUCAGUUGGGUUGAAAGCAUCUGUCCGGGUACCAACCAGAGCCACCGGCCCACUUGUGCAGGGGCGGAGGUGCGAGGCUGAGGCUGCAGUGGCCCCUAGCGGGGGAGGCUUUGUCAUCGCGGAGCCUCUGUCGCAGGGGCUGUGCACAGCUUCUGCACAGGCACCUCCUGCCGAAUGGGAGGUGACCUCAGAAGGGGAGAACCCCAGCUUGCUAGGUUUUCAAUUUUCAUUUGCCAGCUUUCAAUUUUCCAUCUGAUUUUCAAAUGUUGUUCAAUAAAAAUGUUGGUAGAAAGCUCUGUUGGAAAGUC